AAGUCGUAACAAGGUUUCCGUAGGUGAACCUGCGGAAGGAUCAUUAACGAAGAAUCCGGGCUUCGGCUCGCUCUCGUCUUCCACCCUGUGCAUCGUGACCCUUUUUUGCGCUCAAAAGUCGAGGAUGAUACCAAGUAAAAAAGGCACAAAAUGAAGCAACGGAUCUCUUGGCUCUC
rnacentral:misc_RNA from 1 species